rnacentral:misc_RNA from 1 species
CCACCUUGAUGCUGACAGUUUUUCAAGCGGUCGGACUCCAUAGCCACGGGACAGAAUUAGGCAAAGCAAUGAAUUGGUUAAAAACGUACAAGGAAAUAUAAAUUCAUUCGUUAGUAACCUGUGAAUUACAUAUGUAUUGUUGAGAUUGUUAGGUAAAAAGAAGUCUUGGAAUAAUUGACAUUAAGAAAGAAAAUUAUGACUGCGCGUCCAGUUACUAAGCAGCCGCGAUCAAAAACUGCGUCAUCGUUUGAAUUAACAUGGGUUAGAUCACCCGUGGAAAGGACCGAGGAGGGAAUACCUGCCGAGCUGAUGGUUCUAAAAGAUAUUCAGAAAUUGAUUAUACGGCAAACAGCGGAUACUAUAGGCGUCGGGUGUAACCAAGACAAUGAAUAUCGUAUCUUAAAUAAAACGAAACAACAGGUAUUCUUCGCUACUGAAGAAACGACAUGUUGCUGUAGAUGCCUAUGCGGUCCAGCACGAUCAUUCAACAUCUACUUGCAAAAUAAGCACGGACAGGAGAUAGUGCGAUUCGUGCGGCCGGUCCGGUGCGAUGGAUGCUGCUGUAUGUGCUGUAUGAUGCGACUCAUGAUACAGACACCAGAUGGAGAAGUGCUGGGAUAUGUCAAACAAAAGUGGAAAUUGUUUGGGGCAAAGGUUGUUGUUGAAACAUUCGAUGGAAAGCCAAUUUUGGAAAUUGUCACAUCUUGCUGUCCUUGUCGAUGUUUCCGUGACAUGGAAUUUAAAGUGUUUGCAUUAGAAACGGAGGAAGAGGGUGCAAUAAAGAAACAGUGGCGAGGAAAAAAAGAUACCCUGAAUGUUGAUCACGAACAGUUCAUUAUAAAUUUUCCAUCGAAUCUUGACGUUAUUGGGAAGACUUUGCUGAUUGGUGCAAGUUUUCUUAUGGACUUUAUGUUCUUCGAAAUGACAUGAGAUGAAAAAGUGAUGUUGCAUUGGGUUUGCAAAACAAGGAGGGAUCAUUGAUGGCAGAUCUUCAAACCCUGCUCAAUGACACAACGGAGAUUUUUUUAUCGACUUAGGUGGCGCCAGGAUUUGCCCGACGGGGGAGGGGGGUCCCAUAUCCCUGACUAGAGCAAAGUGGUCCAGGGGCCGGGGGCGUUAUAAUAUAAUAUAUGAUAUUGAAAAUACACAUAGUGUUUCCCCCCCCCCACCCCUACGAACUGUGUUUUUUCCCCGACGAGUGGGAGGGGGGGGGAGGGGCUGGGCCCUCCACUGACGUCACCCCUAAUAUGACUGAUCAGAUAAAUGACGCCAUAUGACAACUGACGCCAUCAAUCCAUUAUUUUGUUGUCUGUAAUGGCAGUUCUCGACCGACUUUCACUUAGCUUGCCUUUUCAUAAUAUAUCCACGUUGGAUACACCCAAUCGUAAUGAAGAUGUCCAUAAAAAAUAAAUAUAUGUCUAUUAGUAUAUGUUUGAAUAAUCAUAUCCUUUUCAGAAGUAUUCAUAUAUAAUACAUUAGUUUGGGCGGUGUAUUAUGAGUUAAUUUCACUUUUAUUUAUUUGUCCUAAUACAAAUAAAUAGCUGACCUUCAAAACAAAAUGUGUACGUUCUAUAAUUAUAUAAACUUACACUAUACUGUGCUUUAAUUGGCAUAUCGGCCGCUAUAUAAGUGUUAUUUUAUAUAAAAAUUUAAUAAGUUUAUAUCAAUGGUCAUUUGGUAUUUUUCAGGCUCUGUUUCUGAUCUCUCGUCAUUUCAAGGCGUACAUUUGUUUUGAUCACAAUAAAUCUCAACCACAACCCUACAAAGCAUACUUCUAUGCCAUCACUUUAUUUCUGAACACCAUAACAUGUCGCAGAAAAUGUGACAAAAAAGAAUAGGGCUAAGCUGUUGAAUACAAAGAAAGCUAAUGCCUGUGUAAAUAAUAGAUAUUACUUAACAGUAAAUAAGUUUUAAUUCUAGAAGAGUGUCGUACAGUAUUAGCAAUGAGUAACAGUUGAACAACACUAACAGCAAAACUGUUACAAUGUGGAGCUAAAGUUUGGUGGAGAAAACACUUCACCAGGAGCAUGAAAUAGCCAAUAAAUAGUGUUAAAGCUAUACA